rnacentral:rRNA from 1 species
UGGGGAAUUUUUCGCAAUGGGGGAAACCCUGACGAAGCAACGCCGCGUGGAGGAUGAAGGCCUUCGGGUCGUAAACUCCUGUCGACCGGGAAGAAUGCACCCGACCUAAUACGUCGAAGUGUUGACUGUACCGGUGGAGGAAGCCACGGCUAACUCUGUGCCAGCAGCCGCGGUAAUACAGAGGUGGCAAGCGUUGUUCGGAAUUACUGGGCGUAAAGGGCGCGUAGGCGGCCCGCCAAGUCCCGUGUGAAAGCCCCCGGCUCAACCGGGGAACGGCGCGGGAAACUAGCAGGCUUGAGUUCGGGAGAGGGAAGCGGAAUUCCGGGUGUAGCGGUGAAAUGCGCAGAUAUCCGGAGGAACACCGGUGGCGAAGGCGGCUUCCUGGACCGACACUGACGCUGAGGCGCGAAAGCUAGGGGAGCAAACGGGAUUAGAUACCCCGGUAGUCCUAGCCCUAAACGAUGAGAACUGGGUGUAGGGGGUAUGGAACCCCCCUGUCGCCGAAGCUAACGCAUUAAGUUCUCCGCCUGGGGAGUACGGUCGCAAGG